ACACUGGAACUGAGACACGGUCCAGACUCCUACGGGAGGCAGCAGUAGGGAAUCUUCCGCAAUGGGCGAAAGCCUGACGGAGCAACGCCGCGUGAGUGAUGAAGGUCUUCGGAUCGUAAAACUCUGUUAUUAGGGAAGAACAUAUGUGUAAGUAACUGUGCACAUCUUGACGGUACCUAAUCAGAAAGCCACGGCUAACUACGUGCCAGCAGCCGCGGUAAUACGUAGGUGGCAAGCGUUAUCCGGAAUUAUUGGGCGUAAAGCGCGCGUAGGCGGUUUUUUAAGUCUGAUGUGAAAGCCCACGGCUCAACCGUGGAGGGUCAUUGGAAACUGGAAAACUUGAGUGCAGAAGAGGAAAGUGGAAUUCCAUGUGUAGCGGUGAAAUGCGCAGAGAUAUGGAGGAACACCAGUGGCGAAGGCGACUUUCUGGUCUGUAACUGACGCUGAUGUGCGAAAGCGUGGGGAUCAAACAGGAUUAGAUACCCUGGUAGUCCACGCCGUAAACGAUGAGUGCUAAGUGUUAGGGGGUUUCCGCCCCUUAGUGCUGCAGCCAACGCAUUAAGCACUCCGCCUGGGGAGUACGACCGCAAGGUUGAAACUCAAAGGAAUUGACGGGGACCCGCACAAGCGGUGGAGCAUGUGGUUUAAUUCGAAACAACGCGAAGAACCUUACCAAAUCUUGACAUCCUUUGACAACUCUAGAGAUAGAGCCUUCCCCUUCGGGGGACAAAGUGACAGGUGGUGCAUGGUUGUCGUCAGCUCGUGUCGUGAGAUGUUGGGUUAAGUCCCGCAA
rnacentral:rRNA from 1 species